GAUGAACGCUGGCGGCGUGCCUAAUACAUGCAAGUCGAGCGAACAGACGAGGAGCUUGCUCCUCUGACGUUAGCGGCGGACGGGUGAGUAACACGUGGAUAACCUACCUAUAAGACUGGGAUAACUUCGGGAAACCGGAGCUAAUACCGGAUAAUAUAUUGAACCGCAUGGUUCAAUAGUGAAAGACGGUUUUGCUGUCACUUAUAGAUGGAUCCGCGCCGCAUUAGCUAGUUGGUAAGGUAACGGCUUACCAAGGGAACGAUGCGUAGCCGACCUGAGAGGGUGAUCGGCCACACUGGAACUGAGACACGGUCCAGACUCCUACGGGAGGCAGCAGUAGGGAAUCUUUCGCAAUGGGCGAAAGCCUGACGGAGCAACGCCGCGUGAGUGAUGAAGGUCUUCGGAUCGUAAAACUCUGUUAUUAGGGAAGAACAAAUGUGUAAGUAACUAUGCACGUCUUGACGGUACCUAAUCAGAAAGCCACGGCUAACUACGUG
rnacentral:rRNA from 1 species